UGGGAACCUUCCUUAUGGUUCGGAAUAGCUCAGGGAAACUUGAGGUAAUACCGGAUAAGCCCUUCGGGGAAAGAUUUAUCGCCAUUGGAUGGGCCCGUGUCGGAUUAGCUAGUUGGUGAGGUAACGGCUCACCAAGGCAACGAUCCGUAGCUGGUCUGAGAGGAUGAUCAGCCACACUGGGACUGAGACACGGCCCAGACUCCUACGGGAGGCAG
rnacentral:rRNA from 1 species